rnacentral:rRNA from 1 species
GAUGAACGCUGGCGGCGUGCCUAACACAUGCAAGUCGAGCGAUUCUCUUCGGAGAAGAGCGGCGGACGGGUGAGUAACGCGUGGGUAACCUGCCCUGUACACACGGAUAACAUACCGAAAGGUAUGCUAAUACGAGAUAAUAUACUUUUAUCGCAUGGUAGAAGUAUCAAAGCUCCGGCGGUACAGGAUGGACCCGCGUCUGAUUAGCUAGUUGGUAAGGUAACGGCUUACCAAGGCGACGAUCAGUAGCCGACCUGAGAGGGUGAUCGGCCACAUUGGAACUGAGACACGGUCCAAACUCCUACGGGAGGCAGCAGUGGGGAAUAUUGCACAAUGGGCGAAAGCCUGAUGCAGCAACGCCGCGUGAGCGAUGAAGGCCUUCGGGUCGUAAAGCUCUGUCCUCAAGGAAGAUAAUGACGGUACUUGAGGAGGAAGCCCCGGCUAACUACGUG